CUUGCUUUGGGGCCUCACUCUGCACAGUUCCUGCUUCAGGGCCUGUCCUCCCACACAGGACAAGCACAGAGCAGGCCGGGGACACUGGGCCAUGUCCCCUCAGUCAACCCCCUGCUGAGCCUUGGGCUCUGCCUGGGCCAGCGGAUCCACACACAGGCAGGAGCCCCACGUGACAUCAGCCCCACCCACACAACUGGCUCCCCCACAGGUGGGUCUCCUGGAACUCUGCAAGGGGUAGUGCCCAUGGGGACAGGUUCUGCCUGAGAAGUGGGAAAGUGGCUCCCAUUUCAGGGGCCCUGAGUUGGGUUUUUCCCACCUGUCGGCGACCUGUCCUGAGCGGUCACCUCUGUCCUGCUCCAGCCUCCACCCUCCAGAGCUACAAGGGGCUGAACUUUGUCUCCCUGGGCCUGGCUGGGCUGGUCUUGGUGAUCCUGGUGGUGAUUCUGGGAGGAGCUUGGCACAGCUGGCUGAGGUCACAGAAAGAAGAGGGCACCUGCCAGCGAGCUUAGACCCCAGGACCCAGGGAGAGGCCCUCGAGGACCCAGCCCAUGUGGAGCCCCAGGAGACCAGAGGUCACCAUGACUGUGCACCGUGGACCUGGACACUGCUGGUCUGAACGCGUUCUCAGCCUGCACCAGGGAGCAGUGUGGACCCACCCCAGCCUCCUUCGGUGUCUGCCCCUGUCCCCCAGGGUGGCCGCCAUGCUGCACACCCAUCACCAGGGCGCUGGCGCACAUCUGGCUCCAGGCUCUGGCUUGAGCAGCUGGAGCGCUGGGCGUGUCUGACUCAGGCAUCAGGGGGCUUGUUCACGGGGCUCGGAUCCCGCUCAAGGGCAGUGACUCAGGCAAGUGGCUGGACAAAGGAGCCCACAGACUCAGCUGGGUGUCCCAGCCGGAAGGCACCAACCUGGACGCCUUUCCCACACCUCGCCUGGUCUUCCAGGGGCUCCCAGCGCCGCUCCUCCCCGGCAUCAGCAGCUGGAGCCCAUGCCCCUGCUCUGCCUGGAGAGUGGCGGCUCCCCCACGGGCCCCUGCGUCUCCCUGCAUGACUGGUAGUGAUGGUGCUGGUUGGCAGGGUGGUGCAGCCAGGGUAGGAGUGCUGGUUGGGAGGCUGGUGUCGAUUCUCCUUGUUCAGUUGUGCUUCAACGUCGUUUGCUGGAGAGAGGCGGGGCAGGCGGAAUCUCUCAGAUGCUGGUUGCUGCACCACUUGCUGUAGCCUAUUAGAGGAUCCAUGGAACUUUCCUGAUGAAGGGGAAGAGCUGGGCAGUUAGGCCAGCACCCUGACAGGUAGAGACUGCUAGGAAAACCUGCACACAUGCCUGUGAUACAGGCACGCAAAAGCAGAAUGCUGUUUCCAGAGUCAAAUACUGUGAACCCCAGAAUCCAUCAGCAGCUGGAUGAAUGAACAUCUCUAUGUUGCCUUUAUACAGUGGAAUAUUAUACACUAGCGAAAACAUCCAAUCUAGCACUGGAAGCAAAAAUACAGAUCUAGUUUUCAAACAUAACAGUGAAUGAAAGAGGGAAGCCGAGUGCAGGUGACAUUUUAUUGUUAAAGAGACCACGUGAGUCUCCUGCGAGGCAAACAACCGUGCAGAAACUUGAAUAAAGAAAGAAAACGAGCCACUGAAAAUACUGUUGCAUGACAUAAGGCAAAAAAGGAGGGAUCACAUGAAAAGAGAAGGGAGGUCCAUGAAAUAAAGAAGGGGACUAGAGGGGGCGAGGAGGAAGGGCAAAGUGAGCCUGACAGCUUCCCUGCCUGCGCACACGAGUGUGCCACAGAGAUGCUACCUUUGUGAGGAGCUAUAGAGCAGCAGUUUAAAAACAGUGAGAAAAUAGAAGGAAGAGCAGCAGAGUAGAGAAAGAGGGUCUGGGGUGGAAGGAGGAGGCACUGGGGCCUGAGGUGCAGCAUGUGAUCAUUGCUGUGUGACUAGGUCAGAGUGAACCCCCUCCACACGACUCCAACUCACUAAGGAAGACAUGACACCACAACUGCAUAAGAGGUGCAAGUUCUAUGGCUCUCCAGCACAGGCCGUGGCUGUGGUUGCAAUCCUUGCAUCUUAAGAAGAACCAGAAGAGAGCAGCAUCACCACCACCACCAU